GCUGCCAGCAGGCCACAGCACCGGCCGUCCGCACAGCAGGAAACAUGCUUGUUUGGGCUGUUUUCAUGGACUCCUCUCACUUGGAAAGAUUUAAAAUGAGUGGACUGUCAGAUCUGGAUGCUUCUCUAGAUGUGAGUGAAUGUUCGGGUUUCCUAGGCGGCAGCGUGGCUGGGACCCCCUCCGUGUGCUUUGUGGUGUUUGUGAAAGGUGUUCGUUCUCCACCGAGCAUCUUCCAGGGACACAGCCGACGAACACUGCCUACUGUCUUGCCACCUGCCUUCCUGUCUUCCCCGGGUUUCUGGCGUCCUCAGUCAGGACACGGUACCAUCUCUCCUGAGCAUGGAAUCUCCAAGUGCCUUGCCUUUUCCUCAUCCCACAUCCCCUGGUGGUCGGCAAAUCGAGAAGUUACAUCCCCUGACCCGUGAAACCAUGGCUGUCUUAACCAGGACUGUCGUGUCCUGGAGUCAGAUGGGAUCAUCCGGGCAGGAAACGGGCGAAGCCUCAGCUUGUGUUUUUCUAAACGUGGAGACACAGUGUCAUCAGAUGCCUGUGAUGGCAGCCUCGCCCUGGUGAUGGACAUCACACCUCCUUGACCCCUUUCAAAGUGACUGGAUGUCACUGGAAGUAUCCCAGCCCCGGAGAAUUCUCAUGACACCUGUGUUUGUGAGCCAGGCGUGCGGUCGUCAUGCUGGGAGCUGCAGGGAGGAACCACGCGUGUUCUCUCACUUUAAGGACUUAACUUUGAGAGGGUGAGAACCAGAGUCCUGAGCUCACAUCUCUCUUCUGUCACUAGAUGUGCAACUGGGCGCAAGUUCCUUAAUGUAUGUAUCCCUCGGUUUCCGUAUGUCUUACGUGAGGAUUAUGGCAGUCACCGCCCAUGAGGGUGUGGGAUUUAAUGAGUCAAUGUGUGAAACACCUGUGCCUGACUCGCAGCCACGCUGACCACAUGGUGGGCACAGGGUGAACUGUUGCCGUUAGUUGGCCGGACUCUCGUUUGUCUGUCAGAUCUCACUUCUCCAUGCAAUAUGUACCUGGGACUCAGUGAGUUGAGCCCCGAAAGCAGUCCUGCAGAAAUGCCUCUCCUGGUGUUUAUGUGCACUGAUCGCUAUACGUGUAUGUGCGUGUGUGUGUGCAUGUGUCCUGUCAGGCCCGUGGUCCAGGUUUGCAUGGCCAUGUGUGGAGACGGGCGGACCUGUGCCCUAACAGAGAUUCGAGGUGCCGGGCAAGAGGUGAUGGUCAGAUGCCGAGAGGAGUUUGUGAGCAGCAACCCAGCGCCCUGUGAGGGCUGCAGAACCUUCUGACGGCCGACUUCAUCGAUGCUCCACGGUGUAUCACUUGUGUCUGCUCAUGUAGUUCAGUUACAUAGGCACUCUCAGGAACACUGAACCAGGGCACACGGAUUAGCCAACACUCAACCAGGGAACACGGAUGAGUGAACACUGAACCAGGGGACGUGAGUUCGCAAAUACUGAACCAGGUCCAGGAAUGAGCGAAUACUGAAUCAUCUUUCCCGGGGAGUAGAGAGUUGAGUAUCUACGUAGAUUCCCUUGGUGGGCAGCCUCCAACACUAGCCAGCUCCUUGGAAGCCCUGAACUUCAGGUGGAAGUGUGGCCUUGCUGUGUGACAGCGAUGUGCUCGUCUGCCCAGGCCUCCCUGUGCGGACCGCACUCCUCCCAUCGCCGCAGGAGG